GAUUUAUACCCAUUGCAAAUAACGGGCCAGUGAUUUUGAUUAACAUUUUACCGACCAAUCAAACUUUAAAAUAAUUCAAAACGUUAGAAAGUUAACUCGUAUUACCUAAAAGACAGAGCCCCAAUUGUUUUAAUGGACAUGACUACAUCCUUUCCAUCAAAAAUAUUGUUGAGAGCUUUCUAGGGGUGAAACAGUAUACCGCAGUAUUAGUAGAAGCACGGUAUUUAGCCUUCGGUUCGGUAUACCAUAAUGCAAUCCAAAUAAUCGGUAUUUUCGGUUUUCAUACCAUUCACCUAUCCA